AUCUUUCUGGUUCAUACGUAUGAUGAUCGGUUUAAUCACGUGACUACGUGAGAGGUACAGGCCCCAAACCUUGUUACGCAACUGUGCCUCAGCCGUUCUGACC